rnacentral:lncRNA from 1 species
GUAACGGCUAUUUUGAUUUUAGAGACUCCCAACCGUUAAAAAGAAGUGCAUCAGGCAGAAACACGCUCAUCUCUUAACCUCGCCGCGGUCGCUCAUCUCUCCACACCACACUCAUCAUCUUCUUCUACAAUUUCAGCUUAACUGACUUGUCGAAUUUUUUAGUCUUUGUACCUCCAUCCAUAACUUUGGCUGGGCAAUUUCACC